GUCCUCCGGGCAGUUCUGGUGUCUGCUUUGCUGAAAUCGAGUCCCUCACUUCAGAGCUUAAUGGAGAUGGUCUUCGUUACAAGUGUCUGGGAGGCAGCGUAAGCUAACUUCACUAGUUCCAGUGCUGGCACAAUUUAGGAAUCAAGAAAUAGCAGGAGGAGGUCCUAAAAUGGUUCCAAGAAGCUUUGAGGAUCUAAGAAAAGGAAAGAAGACUUAACGAGGACAUGGAAAGCAGGGCAGGCCUCUCUGAGGAACUGACAUUCCAGCUGAGACCUGAAGGAUGAGUAGGAGCCAGGCAGAAUUGAGAAGGAGAGGGGAAAGGGAAAAUCCUGUGCCAGUGCCCUGAGGUUGAAAUAUGCUUCCUGUUGUUUAAGAAAUUAAAAGGCCA